rnacentral:rRNA from 1 species
UACGGGGGGGGCAAGCGUUGUUCGGAAUUACUGGGCGUAAAGGGCUCGUAGGCGGCCAACUAAGUCAGACGUGAAAUCCCUCGGCUUAACCGGGGAACUGCGUCUGAUACUGGAUGGCUUGAGAUUGGGAGAGGGAUGCGGAAUUCCAGGUGUAGCGGUGAAAUGCGUAGAUAUCUGGAGGAACACCGAUGGCGAAGGCAGCCUCCUGGGCCAAUACUGACGCUCAUGCACGAAAGCGUGGGGAGCAAACAGG